GGAGGAAGAAGGGGGAACCAAGAACCCUAACUGCUUGAAUCAGCAAAUUGAGCCACGAAUUGUAGGAAAUUCAUAUGCAUGAGCCCUCAAAAUCAAGCAUCUAACCCUAGUUAGUAAAGAGGCGUAAAGGAAGAAAGCUCGAACACUAGUAAAGCGGGAGGCGUACAAGAUCGAGGUAAAACUCCACUUUAGGCGAUUUGGAGAUAUGGAGCGAGCACGUGUUCAUGCUUGAUUACACCAAGCGCUUCCGCUAGUUAUUUGCACUCUUUUUGGGUCCAUGUCUUGUUAUUUUGUUUAAUCUUGUUAGAAGUCAUACACUUGAAAACUUGUUGUUUUCGUUUUGGGAAGUUUAAAGUUAAAUGGGUCGUAGAUUGUCGUUAGUUUAAUAUCUUAAAAC